CUCAUUCUUUCUCCCUCCUCUCCUCCUCGCGAGCUCUCACUGCGAUCGAGAUCUAAACCAUCGAGAUCAAAGAUUUAGGUGAUCGAGAGUAGAUCGAUCAAGAUUUCAAAGAAUCGACAGAAUUCUUCCGGUUCGUUCUAGGGUUACGGAUCUCCAUCUCAAUUUUUUUAUCAUUUCAGCUAAAUAUAAUUUGAGAAUUUAGUUGAAAAUUCAUAUGUUUGUUCUCUGCUUUUAAUUCUCGAGAUUAAUUGAUUAAUUUAGAUUCUUUCAAGGGUUCUAGUUGUUCAUCUCAAUUUUUGAUCAUUUCAGCUAAAUAUAAUUUGAGAAUUUAGUUGAAAAUUUAUAUCUAUGUUUUUCGUUUUCAAUUCUCGAGAUUAGUUGAUUAAUUUAGAUUUAAGGGUUGAUGAGGUUACUGCAGGGCUUUUUAAAAUGAUUUGUUUGAUGCAUUUACUUCCUUCAAGUGAGGAAAUUUCUGAAGAAGUUGUACUUGCUGCAUUCAGACUCUUCUGGGAGUCUGUUUUAGAUGAAGUUGAGAGCACUGAGGAAGAAGAUGAGGGGAAUGAAGAAGCAAUUGUUCUUGUUUUAUUUAAACUUUUUUGGGAGUCUAUCCCAGAUGAAGUUGAGUGUACAGAGGAAGUAGAUGGGAUUCCUGUAGAGGUUGAUCAAGUUGAAAGUGUUGAAGAGCCUGAAGAGGUUGCAUCUGUUUCAGAAGAACGUCUGCGUUGCAUUGACCGUCUUUAUAAGAUCACAUAAAUCAUUCACCGUGACUUUUAUUCCUUGGAAACUUUUUUGAAAAAUGUAGAUGCUUCUGAUGUAGAGGGUGUACUGGAUUUUGUAACUAUUCUGAUUGCUCAGAUUAAAAAGCCUGUCAGAAUAUCUAAGGAUAAGUAUGAUAAUAGUUGCUGAUGAUUUUGAUAUAUUGGUGAAAAAAAAUUUACCAGAAGCUGGCGACCGUGCUUUCUGCACCGUGUUAUGUGGACUUAAGAGAGAGUGAGAGAAGAUUAUGAGAAGCUUAAUGAGUUGAGACAACAAUCUAUAUUGAAGUUUCAAGAUUGGGGUCGGGGAGACAUCAAAUCGGUGGUGGCAUACUUGGUCUCAGCUAUGGACAGAUUGGAGGAGCAAAUUUGGACAUAAUUGGAUCUUCAUUUUUAAGGGAGAGUCAUGCUCACAUGUCCUCGAACAACAUUCUGGAGACUAUGAAGCUUGGGGAAGAGGUGGACCAUCAGGGAGCAAUAGAUGAAGAAGUGUAGGGUUCAUGAAAUUCACUGCAGAAACUCUCUGAAGAGUAAUUCACUGCAGAAACUCUUUGAAGAGUAUUGAUACUUACGUCUCCAUGGAAUUGCAUGCGUUAACAGUACUUACAAUUGGACGGAGCCUUAGACAGUUCCUUAGUUCUCAGGUUUGUUUGAAGGAGUUUACUUAGUUCAUUUCAUUGUAAUUGCUAAUCCGACAGUUUGUGUUCUGUUGAUAGCCUUUGUCUUUCUUUGUGAUCCAUAUACCAUAAAAAUAGUAGAAUAAAUUUGUUUGAUGCUCUCAACAAAACAUAUUUGAUGGCAUUUAUUGGCUU